rnacentral:lncRNA from 1 species
UGGGAUUUUCCCAUGCUGUUCUCAUGAUAAUGAAUAAGUCUCAUGAGAUCUGACUGUUCUAUAAAAGGGCAGUUCCCCUGCACACACCUUCUUGCCUGCUGCCACAAAGACGUGUCUUGCUUCCCCUUCGCCAUCUGCCUUGAUUGUGAGGCCUCCCCAGCCACGUGGAACAACUUUGCUGCUCUAUUGCCAAACUACUCAUAUCCCCCUGUUACUGUGAAACUUGGUGAAAUUCCUCAGGGAUUUUGAGACAUCAAAGCAAUCUCUCUAGUUCUGGAAAGACUGAAUUUGCAGCAUCUGCUGAAAUGAGGAAUAAUCAAUGUUCACCAGCGGAAAUUGAAAAGCAAAGAGAUGGGGAAGAUUCCAAGGAUCCACUCAAGUUCCUGGUGUUUUUGUGAAUGUUCUGUGUUUAAGACAUGCUUUUGUUUAGGAGAAGACAUGAGCUGAGCCAACUGGGAUAAAGAAGAGGUUGAAAAUGCGUAUGGCUUAGACAGAGUAAAGAGUUUUAGAUAAAAUAUCGGGGUAACUUUUAGAGUCUUGGCUUAAGGCCAAAGCUUCUGAAUCAAGGAAAGAGUGACAGUUGCCUUCCUCUAUUUUUAUUAAUAUACAGGUGUGUUACCAUUAUUACCUGCCAGAAAGAGCAUAAUAUUAAUCCAAUCAAAUUAUAUGAGUCCUACAGUAGAAAUAUUGCAGACAUUUAAUAUUAUAUUGAAGUUUAAUUAAUGGUAAGACAUUUCAAGGUGGUAAUAGUUAUAUGCAGCUCUUUGGCUAAAAGUCAAAGUGUGAUAUAUACAGAAUAGAAACGAUGCUGGACUGCCAGAAAAUCUGCCUCUCCCUCCCACUCCCCCAAGAUCUAUUAGGAACGAGCAUUUACUGUUAUUAUUUCAAAUAUUUAUGCAAAGUAAUUUUAAAUGAUUUAAACAUUCCAUAUAUCAAUCAAAGUUAAUAAUAAGUUAGAUUCUGAAACAUUUGUGCCAUUAACAACAGUCAGAAAGAUAACAUUAUUUCAUUGGUAUUAAAUGAGGCAAUCAACAGUUUGAUGGAAAAAAAAAAAAAACUAAGUGUAUUUUUUAAAAUUACACUUUUACAUAGAGUUAGAAAACUAGUCCAUAGAAAGGAAACUGUUGACCAAUUACACGUUGUUAUAUCUAACUUGUAUAUUGUUCUUACUAUAGGCUAUGCUCUGUCCUCCUAGAUUUACAUAUAUUUGUAAUUUUUUCUCACAACAACCUUAUGAGUUGGAACUAUUAUUGACUCCAAUACAGAGAUGAGGAAAUCAGCCCGUUUCCUCCCAACGGUUAAGUAACAGUGGUUAACUGGGGAGCUGAGAUUUAAAACUAGUCCAUGUGGCUCUAGAAGCCUUGCACUUAACCACAAUGCCAAAAAAAAAAACUGCAUCAUAAAUCUGCUGACCCAGAAAAGGUGAAGAACUAAUACACACCUGGCUUAUCACAUGUGUUUUCCAUCAUGAAAGUAGGGGCGCUGUGUUUCAAAUCUUAAAUGUGUUAAUAAUCAUAUCAAUUUUCCACUUAAUUUCUUUUGUGUGUGCACAAUCUCAAAACACAACCCUCUCCAUUUCUUUCCCUUUCUCUAUAUCAGUGUAUUAAAUUUUGCCUCUCCAAAGCUGUAGAAUGAAAUAGACUUGCACUAUAUGGACAGAGCAAAAUGUGAAUGACUCAGUCACACAUUCAACACCUUUGAAUUAAAUUUUUCUAACAUGUUUUCACUUUCAAAAUAUGACAAGAAAAGGGUCAGGAGGGCCACAUCUUCCUUCUCUUUCCUGGCACUUCCACACUGAAAAGAUUUAAUGGUUACUUUUGUAUGUUGCAUCUUGACAGUUAGUUCAAUUUAGAUGAAAGCUGUUAUUUUCUAAUUCCAUCUCACUGUAAAUGACAGAGACAAA